GGGAUAACACUUGGAAACAGGUGCUAAUACCGCAUAACCAUAGUUACCGCAUGGUAGCUAUGUAAAAGGUGGCUAUGCUACCGCUUUUGGAUGGGCCCGCGGCGCAUUAGCUAGUUGGUGGGGUAAAGGCUUACCAAGGCAAUGAUGCGUAGCCGAACUGAGAGGUUGAUCGGCCACAUUGGGACUGAGACACGGCCCAAACUCCUACGGGAGGCAGCAGUAGGGAAUCUUCCACAAUGGGCGAAAGCCUGAUGGAGCAACGCCGCGUGGGUGAAGAAGGUCUUCGGAUCGUAAAACCCUGUUGUUAGAGAAGAAAGUGCGUGAGAGUAACUGUUCACGUUUCGACGGUAUCUAACCAGAAAGCCACGGCUAACUACGUGCCAGCAGCCGCGGUAAUACGUAGGUGGCAAGCGUUAUCCGGAUUUAUUGGGCGUAAAGGGAACGCAGGCGGUCUUUUAAGUCUGAUGUGAAAGCCUUCGGCUUAACCGGAGUAGUGCAUUGGAAACUGGGAGACUUGAGUGCAGAAGAGGAGAGUGGAACUCCAUGUGUAGCGGUGAAAUGCGUAGAUAUAUGGAAGAACACCAGUGGCGAAAGCGGCUCUCUGGUCUGUAACUGACGCUGAGGUUCGAAAGCGUGGGUAGCAAACAGGAUUAGAUACCCUGGUAGUCCACGCCGUAAAC
rnacentral:rRNA from 1 species